GACGUGGGUCCCUCACUCAGGAAAACCUGACUUUAUUUCUCCGCCGUCUCCAUUCCUAUUGAUUCUCAAGGAGUCCCUCACUCUCAGUUAUCUGCUGCUGGUUCUUUUCCUGUUUUCGAUCAUGUCGUUGUUGAGGAUUCUCAUUCUGAUAGCGAAGGCGAAAGAGGAAAUCACAGGGAUCCACUGCUUGGUGAUGGAUUAGAGAUUGAAACAGUCAUAUUUACUUUCUGAAAAUGAUUAGCAGCGGUCACAACAACUAGAUCGUGUAACUGGAGAUCAACAAUCGAAAGAGCUAGGUUCUGAAAAUCAUGCGCUAGCUGGUGAAGGGGAUGUGGUAGAUUCUGGUGCUGGGCUGAAGGCAGCUGAUGUUGAGCCGUUCCAAUACUAGCUCAAAGCCCUAAUGGAUUUUUCAAGAUCCACCAUCUGGGUGGAAUUGAGUUUCUUUCGCAACCCCUGUUCGACCAAUUCCAGAGUGAAGGCGUAAAGAAUAUUGAUAAAGCUUUGGCUCCUAAGGUUCCCAAUAUGUAACUUCAUACAACAGAAGGAGACCAAUCUCUUGUCUAUGCGAAUGCUGAUUUGAUUUUCUUCUCGAGCGUCCAAAUCUGAGAAGGAUUGCAACUACCAGAAACAAUUUCAAACAAACUGAACCAGGUGCAGAGAAACCUGUUCGCAAUCAGAAAAACUGAACAGGACAAGAAUCAGGAUAAGGGUGCUGUCAACACCAGUGAUAACAACACUGCCACUGGUAACCAACUGAUCUCCUCUACAGUCCGGAUCCUGCUCGUGAAUGCUUUGAAGAAUGUAACUGAUGAAGUCAAAGUGUUGGGAGACCGUCAUGAAAGCAUGGGGAAGGAGCUUAUUAAGAUGCAGAAGGAAUUUUCGGAUGGGGCAAGGUCUGUGGAUAGAUUGAAGAGCAAUGUGGUCUUGUUGCAAGGUAUGAUGGAGCUUAUUCCUAAGUAGGCUGUGUUUAAGUUGGUUUAGAAAGAACUACAUCUGUCUUUCAAUUUUGGAUAAUUAGUAUCAACUCUUGUUGGCGAAUUUUAUGGCAGGAUAGUUUAUAUCGUAUCUUUUGUGUAGUUGGAUAUAAAUUUCUUCUUUUAUGAUACUUGUGUGGAGAAGUUUUUAGGAAA